UACGCUGGCGGCACGCCUAAACAUGCAAGUCGAACGAAGUAGCAAUACUUAGUGGCAGACGGGUGAGUAACAUGUGGGUAUCUACCCUUUGGCCUGGAAUAACACGAGGAAACUUGUGCUAAUACCGGAUAAGUCUUUACGGAGAAAGCUUUAUGCACCAUUGGAUGAGCCCGCACUUGAUUAGUUUGUUGGUAGGGUAAUGGCCUACCAAGACUAUGAUCAAUAGCUGAUUUGAGAGGAUGAUCAGCCACAUUGGGACUGAGACACGGCCCAAACUCCUACGGGAGGCAGCAGUGGGGAAUCUUGCACAAUGGAGGAAACUCUGAUGCAGCGAUGCCGCGUGAGUGAAGAAGGCCUUUGGGUUGUAAAGCUCUUUCGUCGGGGAAGAAAAUGACUGUACCCGAAUAAGAAGGUCCGGCUAACU
rnacentral:rRNA from 1 species